AUUGAACGCUGGCGGCAGGCCUAACACAUGCAAGUCGAACGGUAACAGGAAGAAGCUUGCUUCUUUGCUGACGAGUGGCGGACGGGUGAGUAAUGUCUGGGAAACUGCCUGAUGGAGGGGGAUAACUACUGGAAACGGUAGCUAAUACCGCAUAACGUCGCAAGACCAAAGAGGGGUACCUUCUGGCCUCUUGCCAUCGUAUGUGCCCAGAUGGGAUUAGCUAGUAGGUGGGGUAACGGCUCACCUAGGCGACGAUCCCUAGCUGGUCUGAGAGGAUGACCAGCCACACUGGAACUGAGACACGGUCCAGACUCCUACGGGAGGCAGCAGUGGGGAAUAUUGCACAAUGGGCGCAAGCCUGAUGCAGCCAUGCCGCGUGUAUGAAGAAGGCCUUCGGGUUGUAAAGUACUUUCAGCGGGGAGGAAGGGAGUAAAGUUAAUACCUUUGCUCAUUGACGUUACCCGCAGAAGAAGCACCGGCUAACUCCGUG
rnacentral:rRNA from 1 species